GAGAUGGAGAGGAAGGAAUUUUCCUUCCUUCCCCUUGAAGGCAGCCCAGCUCUUCCUCUUCGGUUCCUCUCACACGCAUCCUUUCCUUCCUCUCUCGUCCCCUCCCUGGUGCUCCGCCGCCGCCUUCUUUCUCCACCAAAUCUACCCCGUCCCAUCGUCCUCAUCCACGGCCAUCGAGUGAAGGAGCCUGAGCAGGUGAGGGGGUGGCUCUGGGAGUCGAUGGUGUCUCCAGAGCGGUCGAGAGGCGUUGGGUCGAAGGCGUCGUGCCUCGGUGGCCGGGAUUGGGCAAGUCAGAUGGGAAGCAACGAUGCCGGAAAUUGUUCGCUGCGCCUCCACCUUGUCCCUGGCCCUUCUACGAGCACUUUCUCAUGUCCACGGGAGCCCCCUUUCCACCGAGCUCCAGAUCCAUGACACUAGCAGCGAGGUAUAUGUUUCCUUCCAUCCCUUUGCAAGAUUGGCUUAUAAAGUAUGGAGUAUUGAUGAAUAUCAAUUGAUAGUCACUGGGAUGUGAAAUUACAACGAUGUCAGUAUGUAUAAGAUUUCUCAAUUCCACUUUAUCUCGAGGAACCGCGAGAAAUGUAGUGUACAAAUGAGUUCAUGGCUUUGCAAGGCAUAUAAAUUUUAGGUGUGCAAUCUUUUCACUUAGUGUAUGUUGUUCCCGUAUGUAGACUUCCUUUUUGAUGAUAUUCACAAAUAUGUUGAACAUGGUUGGAAGUGAACAAAUUCUUGUGGAAUAUGAA